UGCAUUUUGCUAGGGCUGUUUUCAGUUGG
rnacentral:piRNA from 1 species